GUCCACGCCGUAAACGUUGGGCGCUAGGUGUGGGGACCAUUCCACGGUUUCUGUGCCGUAGCUAACGCAUUAAGCGCCCCGCCUGGGGAGUACGGCCGCAAGGCUAAAACUCAAAGGAAUUGACGGGGGCCCGCACAAGCGGCGGAGCAUGUGGAUUAAUUCGAUGCAACGCGAAGAACCUUACCUGGGUUUGACAUGCACCAGGCGCGUCUAGAGAUAGGCGUUCCCUUGUGGUUGGUGUGCAGGUGGUGCAUGGCUGUCGU
rnacentral:rRNA from 1 species